rnacentral:rRNA from 1 species
UACAGAGGAUGCAAGCGUUAUCCGGAAUGAUUGGGCGUAAAGCGUCUGUAGGUGGCUUUUUAAGUCCGCCGUCAAAUCCCAGGGCUCAACUCUGGACAGGCGGUGGAAACUACCAAGCUGGAGUACGGUAGGGGAGACUGGAAUUCCUGGUGUAGCGGUGAAAUGCGCAGAUAUCAGGAGGAACACCGGUGGCGAAGGCGGGUCUCUGGGCCGUAACUGACGCUGAGGAGCGAAAGCGUGGGGAGCGAACAGG